UCAAGUGACUAAGUGUAUGUGGUGGAUGCCUUGGCGAUCACAGGCGAAGAAGGACGUAGUAGCUUGCGAUAAGCUGCGGGGAGCCGGCAAACGGGCAUUGAUCCGCAGAUUUCCGAAUGGGGGAACCCACCGACGUAAGUCGGUAUCACACACUGAAUACAUAGGUGUGUGAGGCGAACGGAGCGAACUGAAACAUCUAAGUAGCUCCAGGAAAAGAAAUCAACCGAGAUUGCGAAAGUAGCGGCGAGCGAAAUUGCAGCAGCCCAGUGUUCUGAUAGCACGAACGACAGCAGAAAGGUCUGGAAAGGCCUGCUAUAGAGGGUGAUAGCCCCGUAUGCGAAAUCGGACGUGUGGUACUAAGGGACCGAUAAGUAGGGCGGGACACGUGACAUCCUGUCUGAAGAUGGGGGGACCAUCCUCCAAGGCUAAAUACUCGUGAUCGACCGAUAGUGAACCAGUACUGUGAAGGAAAGGCGAAAAGAACCCCGGGAGGGGAGUGAAAUAGAACCUGAAACCGCAUACAUACAAACAGUAGGAGCCCGUGUAGUCGGGUGACUGCGUACCUUUUGCAUAAUGGGUCAGCGACUUACGUUUUGUGGCGAGCUUAACCGAGUAGGGGAGGCGUAGCGAAAGCGAGUUCGAAUAGAGCGAGAAGUCUCAAGGCGUAGACCCGAAACCAGAUGAGCUAUCCAUGGCCAGGUUGAAGGUGUGGUAACACACACUGGAGGACCGAACCGACUAGUGUUGCAAAAUUAGCGGAUGAGCUGUGGAUAGGGGUGAAAGGCUUAACAAAUCUGGAGAUAGCUGGUUCUCCCCGAAAACUAUUGAGGUAGUGCCUCGUGUAUUGCUCCAGGGGGUAGAGCACUGUUAUGGCUAGGGGGACAUGGCGUCUUACCAAACCAUGGCAAACUCCGAAUACUUGGAAGUAAGAGCACGGGAGACAGAGCACCGGGUGCUAACGUCCGGACUCAAGAGGGAAACAACCCAGACCGCCGUUUAAGGUCCCAAAUAUUGACUAAGUGGAAAACGAAGUGUGAAGGCUAAGACAGUCAGGAAGUUGGCUUAGAAGCAGCCAUCCUUCAAAGAAAGCGUAAUAGCUCACUGAUCGAGUCCUCAUGCGCGGAAGAUGUAACGGGGCUAAGUCAAUAACCGAAAGCGCGGAUUUGCACGAUGAGUGCAAGUGGUAGGGGAGCGUUCUGUAAGCCUGCGAAGGUGGUUCGAGAGGACUGCUGGAGGUAUCAGAAGUGCGAAUGCUGACAUGAGUAACGUUAAAGCGGGUGAAAAGCCCGCUCGCCGUAAGCCCAAGGUUUCCUGCUCUACGUUCAUCGGAGCAGGGUGAGUCGGCCCCUAAGGCCAGGCUGAGAAGCGUAGUCGAUGGGAAGCAGAUUAAUAUUUCUGCACCAUGUGCAAGUGCGAUGGGGGGACGGAGUGCGAAAGAUCAUCCGGGUGUUGGAUGUCCCGGUUUGUGAGUGUAGAAGGCCGACAGGCAAAUCCGUCGGCGGAUCUUCGAGACAAAGCAUCGAGGUUCUACGGAACCGAAGUGAUCGGAAGUGCUUCCAGGAAAAGCCUCUAAGCUCCAGCUUGCAUGUGACCGUACCGUAAACCGACACUGGUGGGCGAGUUGAAUAUACUCAGGCGCUUGAGAGAACUCGGGAGAAGGAACUCGGCAAAUUGACACCGUAACUUCGGGAUAAGGUGUGCCUUUGUAGCGUGAAGAGAGAAACACUCGGAGCGUGAAGAGGCCUCAGAGAAUCGGUGGCUGCAACUGUUUAUUAAAAACACAGCACUCUGCAAAGACGAAAGUCGACGUAUAGGGUGUGAUGCCUGCCCGGUGCUGGAAGAUUAAGUGAUGGGGUGAGAGCUCCUGAUCGAAGUCCCAGUAAACGGCGGCCGUAACUAUAACGGUCCUAAGGUAGCGAAAUUCCUUGUCGGGUAAGUUCCGACCUGCACGA
rnacentral:rRNA from 1 species